rnacentral:rRNA from 1 species
GAUGAACGCUGGCGGCGUGCCUAAUACAUGCAAGUCGAGCGAACAGACGAGGAGCUUGCUCCUCUGACGUUAGCGGCGGACGGGUGAGUAACACGUGGAUAACCUACCUAUAAGACUGGGAUAACUUCGGGAAACCGGAGCUAAUACCGGAUAAUAUAUUGAACCGCAUGGUUCAAUAGUGAAAUACGGUUUUGCUGUCACUUAUAGAUGGAUCCGCGCCGCAUUAGCUAGUUGGUAAGGUAACGGCUUAUCAAGGCAACGAUGCGUAGCCGACCUGAGCGGGUGGUCGGCCACACUGGAACUGAGACACGGUCCAGACUCCUGCGGGAGGCAGCAGUAGGGAAUCUUCCGCAAUGGGCGAAAGCCUGACGGAGCAACGCCGCGUGAGUGAUGAAGGUCUUCGGAUCGUAAAACUCUGUUAUUAGGGAAGAACAAAUGUGUAAGUAACUAUGCACGUCUUGACGGUACCUAAUCAGAAAGCCACGGCUAACUACGUG